AACGAACGCUGGCGGCAUGCCUAACACAUGCAAGUCGAACGAUGCUUUCGGGCAUAGUGGCGCACGGGUGCGUAACGCGUGGGAAUCUGCCCUUGGGUUCGGAAUAACAGUGAGAAAUUGCUGCUAAUACCGGAUGAUGUCUUCGGACCAAAGAUUUAUCGCCCAGGGAUGAGCCCGCGUAGGAUUAGCUAGUUGGUGGGGUAAUGGCCUACCAAGGCGACGAUCCUUAGCUGGUCUGAGAGGAUGAUCAGCCACACUGGGACUGAGACACGGCCCAGACUCCUACGGGAGGCAGCAGUGGGGAAUAUUGGACAAUGGGCGCAAGCCUGAUCCAGCAAUGCCGCGUGAGUGAUGAAGGGCUUAGGGUUGUAAAGCUCUUUUACACGGGAUGAUAAUGACAGUACCGGGAGAAUAAGCUCCGGCUAACUACGUG
rnacentral:rRNA from 1 species